GAAAUGCGAUAAGUAGUGUGAAUUGCAGAAUUCAGUGAAUCAUCGAAUCUUUGAACGCGCAUUGCGCCCCUUGGUAUUCCAUGGGGCAUGCCUGUUCGAGCGUCAUUUGUACCCUCAAGCUCUGCUUGGUGUUGGGUGUUUGUCCCGUCUCCGCGCGUGGACUCGCCCCAAAGUGAUUGGCAGCCGGCGUACUGGUCCCGGAGCGCAGCACAUGUCGCGCAAACGAGUGCCUUGGUACGGCGGCGUCCAUAAGCCCCUCUCUCACGCUCUUGACCUCGGAUCAGGUAGGGAUACCCGCUGAACUUAAGC
rnacentral:misc_RNA from 1 species